AAAGUCGUAACAAGGUCUCCGUAGGUGAACCUGCGGAGGGAUCAUUAUAGGAAGAUAAAAACUUCAACAGGUUGUAGGGGGUGUGUGGGGAGAGGGUGCAUACUCUGCACUUUUUCCUCUCACUCUCUCUGCAACUUCAACCAAACGAUCGCAACUACAAUUUAUGUAUAUUGCCUUGCAUAUCUUUCUCUCUCUCUCUCAGAGAGGCAUUGAUUGCUUGGCUUGGGGGGGGGAUAUAACAAGUGUUUGCCUGAUAUUUCACAAGGCCAUUGCGGCCGAGGGGAAAAUAAUAUAAACAAAACUUUCAACAACGGAUCUCUUGGCUCUC
rnacentral:misc_RNA from 1 species